GGGUGUGAAGAUAAGGGUGGGGAGAAGGAAGCUAGAAGAGGAAGUGAGAGCAGUGACAAAGGCAGAGAAGAGGCCACCUUUUCUGUUCUGCUUUUUUCACAAGAUGCUCAAUAGUAAAAAGAAUCCCAGUCUCAAUGAGAGAAAACUAUAAAUAGGACCAAAUAAAGUGACAUGCUAGCUCACAGAGGUUCUGCUUCACACCUGCUGCUCUUCAGAUACCAUCUCCCUUACGUAACGUAGUUGUGACAAGCAGCCUUGCCACUUCCCAGCACCAAAUACUACAGGAGUCAACACGGUGUUACUUGCUCCCAACAGAACUGAUCAUGCAGGUGCUCAAGGGAAGAGAAAAGGCAUUUUGAUGGGAUCUGAGAGCAUGGAUGAGUUGUUGCAUUUAUAUUAAAGUACUUCUAUUCUAUUCUGCAAAAAGCCUGAUUCUCACACCCAGUUAUGUCGGGUUAUGUGAGAUCAGAAUCAAGCUGACAUUCAGGGAAAUCCCAAGCCAGCAGCUAUGAAAAACUUUCCUCCAGAUUGUUUCCACCAGGGUUUAUAAAAUACAUGUGUUCUGGGGCCCCUUUGGGCUAUGAUGCGCAGUCUCCUCUCGCUUGAAACAAAGUAGUAGGGGGAUCUCAGCAUUUCCAUGGGGAAAUCAUAAUCGCAGCAGGCAAGGACUUGAGCACCCAAGUCUUUUAAGGAGCUAUCUGACUCAACCUGCACCCAGCUUUAUCUUGACAGCUAAGCUUCUUUCAUCUCUCUAUCAGGCCACCUGCUCACUGAGCAUCUUUGCCCUUGCUGUAAGGUGCUGCCACAUCUUACCACCAACAGCCCACAGCCUGACUUCUGCACUAGCCUUGGCACAACAGCCUGUGACAGUUCCAGAGAAGUUUUGUGACAGGAGCCUGGCUGACUGAUCAAUCCGUAGUCAUUCAAAAAUCGCUGCAGUGGGGACAGAAAAGAGGAUGGGCUAGUUUGAGCACCAUGGCACUAUUAAACGCUGGGAACCUGGAGGAUACGCUGCCAACAGUGGAGGUGGAAGUAGGUACUUCCCAGUGGGAGCAUUUGACCUUGUAACAGACAUCCUGAUGGAGCAAGAACAGUGGCAUAGAGCGUACAAAGCUGUAUGAAUUGGACUGUGUGGACCAGGGAUCUGGGCAGCAUCACUGUGAGCUGCUGCGAUCCAUCCUUACAGGUGAGUGAAGGGCUCCCUGUACUUGUGAGAUCUUCACAUCACAGCUGGAUGCCUUUCUGGGAGCGGGGCUUUAUUUGAACCCAAGUAAUUGGGCUCACUACCAGAAUAACCGAGUGAGAUGUAAUGGCCAGUGAGGUAGAGGAGGUCAGGCAAGAUGCUCUUACCUUAAAAUCUCUGAAAUCUGUUUUUGAGCUGGCUGUGAAGCCUCCCAGGCUGCUUCAGGAAGCAAGGCAUGGUUAGGACUGCCAAGCUCUUUGUUUUAUGAUUGUUAAAGCAAAUGUCAAAAUGGCUUGAAAAUGUGAAAAGAGGAGAGGAGUGGCCAGGGGGCUAGGAAAUGGAUUAAAGGUGUUUCCACUUGUCUUCUCUGUACCCAGACAGGCACCAACAGUUGGUGAUAAUUACGCUGGUGGUUUAAUAAGAACCAAACUUCUUUGGCAUGAAAGACUAUUAACACCCAAAUCCUAGAAGGAGAGGGGAGAGGUCAGGGGGCCUCACCUCCAUU